AUUCUUACUCAGGCAAAGAUAAAGGCUGCCUCAGGUCCAUGGCCGGUGUCAUUGUCUAAUUGUUGGAAUGGAUCGAAGUUGUUUAUGGGAGAUGAUAUAUCAGAACUGAUUGAAUUUAGGAAGGAAUUUUCAAAAACUACUGCUCAUGAAAUUUUCGAGGAGGGAAGCCAAUAUAGUGGAUCUUCCCAGAUUAGUCAUGUUGAUAGGUUUAUGUAUAAAACUGUUG